CAGCAGUCGCCACGGUAAUACGUAGGUGGCAAGCGUUGUCCGGAAUUAUUGGGCGUAAAGGGCUCGCAGGCGGUUUCUUAAGUCUGAUGUGAAAGCCCCCGGCUCAACCGGGGAGGGUCAUUGGAAACUGGGAAACUUGAGUGCAGAAGAGGAGAGUGGAAUUCCACGUGUAGCGGUGAAAUGCGUAGAGAUGUGGAGGAACGCCAGUGGCGAAGGCGACUCUCUGGUCUGUAACUGACGCUGAGGAGCGAAAGCGUGGGGAGCGAACAGGAUUAGAUACCCCUGUAGUCCCUGUCUCUUAUAC
rnacentral:rRNA from 1 species